UACGGGAGGCAGCAGUGGGGAAUUUUGGACAAUGGGCGCAAGCCUGAUCCAGCCAUGCCGCGUGCGGGAAGAAGGCCUUCGGGUUGUAAACCGCUUUUGGCAGGAACGAAACGGCGCAAGCCAAUACCUUGCGCUAAUGACGGUACCUGCAGAAUAAGCACCGGCUAACUACGUGCCAGCAGCCGCGGUAAUACGUAGGGUGCAAGCGUUAAUCGGAAUUACUGGGCGUAAAGCGUACGCAGGCGGCUUUGCAAGACAGGUGUGAAAUCCCCGGGCCUAACCUGGGAACUGCAUUUGUGACUGCAUGGCUAGAGUCUGUCAGAGGGGGGUGGAAUUCCACGUGUAGCAGUGAAAUGCGUAGAGAUGUGGAAGAACACCGAUGGCGAAGGCAGCCCCCUGGGAUGAGACUGACGCUCAUGUACGAAAGCGUGGGGAGCAAACAGGAUUAGAUACCCUGGUAGUCCACGCCCUAAACGAUGUCUACUAGUUGUCGGAGGGUAACUCCUUCGGUAACGCAGCUAACGCGUGAAGUAGACCGCCUGGGGAGUACGGUCGCAAGAUUAAAACUCAAAGGAAUUGACGGGGA
rnacentral:rRNA from 1 species